rnacentral:rRNA from 1 species
CCCCCCGAAUGGGGAAACCCAGUGUGAUUCGUCACACUAUCAUUAACUGAAUCCAUAGGUUAAUGAGGCGAACCGGGGGAACUGAAACAUCUAAGUACCCCGAGGAAAAGAAAUCAACCGAGAUUCCCCCAGUAGCGGCGAGCGAACGGGGAGGAGCCCAGAGCCUGAAUCAGCAUGUGUGUUAGUGGAAGCGUCUGGAAAGGCGCGCGAUACAGGGUGACAGCCCCGUACACAAAAAUGCACAUGCUGUGAGCUCGAUGAGUAGGGCGGGACACGUGGUAUCCUGUCUGAAUAUGGGGGGACCAUCCUCCAAGGCUAAAUACUCCUGACUGACCGAUAGUGAACCAGUACCGUGAGGGAAAGGCGAAAAGAACCCCGGCGAGGGGAGUGAAAAAGAACCUGAAACCGUGUACGUACAAGCAGUGGGAGCCCCACCACUAAGCCAGUGGUGAACUCCACAUACGCAUCCUUUGCUGAGGAUACGGUUAACGGAGCGCAAGCGACGUUCAACCGCAAAAGAAGCAGAGGGGGCUUAGUGGUGGGGUGACUGCGUACCUUUUGUAUAAUGGGUCAGCGACUUAUAUUCUGUAGCAAGGUUAACCGWAUAGGGGAGCCGGAGGGAAACCGAGUCUUAACCGGGCGUUAAGUUGCAGGGUAUAGACCCGAAACCCGGUGAUCUAGCCAUGGGCAGGUUGAAGGUUGGGUAACACUAACUGGAGGACCGAACCGACUAAUGUUGAAAAAUUAGCGGAUGACCUGUGGCUGGGGGUGAAAGGCCAAUCAAACCGGGAGAUAGCUGGUUCUCCCCGAAAGCUAUUUAGGUAGCGCCUCGUGAAUUCAUCUCCGGGGGUAGAGCACUGUUU